rnacentral:rRNA from 1 species
UGGGGAAUAUUGGACAAUGGGCGAAAGCCUGAUCCAGCCAUGCCGCGUGUGUGAAGAAGGUCUUCGGAUUGUAAAGCACUUUAAGUUGGGAGGAAGGGCAGUAAGCUAAUACCUUGCUGUUUUGACGUUACCGACAGAAUAAGCACCGGCUAACUCUGUGCCAGCAGCCGCGGUAAUACAGAGGGUGCAAGCGUUAAUCGGAAUUACUGGGCGUAAAGCGCGCGUAGGUGGUUUGUUAAGUUGGAUGUGAAAGCCCCGGGCUCAACCUGGUAACUGCAUCCAAAACUGGCAAGCUAGAGUACGGAAGAGGGUGGUGGAAUUUCCUGUGUAGCGGUGAAAUGCGUAGAUAUAGGAAGGAACACCAGUGGCGAAGGCGACCACCUGGACUGAUACUGACACUGAGGUGCGAAAGCGUGGGGAGCAAACA